rfam:Oryza sativa Japonica Group DNA, chromosome 8, cultivar: Nipponbare, complete sequence.
CAUAAUAGGUGCAAUGAGCUUUCGCGCUCAACUUUGAACGUUCAUCUUAUUUAAAUUUUUUUUAUAAUUAGCAUUUUUGUUGUUAUGAGAUGAUAAAGCAUGAAUAGUACUUUACUCGUGACUUAUGUUUUUAACUUUUUUUAAAAAAAUUUUAAAUAAGACGAACUGUCAAAGUUAGAUGCGAAAAACUAUGGCUGUAUUUAUU